rnacentral:lncRNA from 1 species
UGUGUUUCCUUAUGUCGUUCUUCUACUUAAGUUGCAAGUUGAGGUCCUUGACCUUUUCGAGAUUUCUGAAAUUAUUUUAUUAGUAUUUUUGCUUGAAUUACUUCUUUUUCAUCUUUGUACUCGAUUGAAUAUGAAAACCCUAAAAUUUGGUGUUUCGUACGAGUUAUCAGACUAUUUACUAUGUGAUUUACUUGUUCUUUAUGCUCUGCAUUCGAUUUAUUUCAAAGCCCUAACUUCUUUGGACCUAUUCAAGCUUCUGAAGCCGCUUCAUCUGUUACUCGACUAGAUUUUAAACCCUUUUCGUUUCAACCUCUGUUUCUUUAUGUGAUUUUAACUUCCUGCUAUCAUUGGAACUGGACGAUGUUUUGAGAAAGGUCUUUUUACCUGACCUUUUGCAUGCUUCUAAUACUCUCUCUUUUCUAUAUUAUUGAGUUGUUGAAGUCAAUCUAUGUGAGUACCAUGUUUCGAUAGUUCAUUAGCUGCUGACUUUGUGUUUGCUUUGCAUGAUGCUUCUCUUUGUCAUGAGUUUAGCCUCGCAUGUCUAAUUUUUAUGCACUCUUAUAUAUGCUAAGUUUCCCUCACAA